rnacentral:tRNA from 1 species
GCUCCGAUAGUGUAGUCCGGUCAAUCAUCCAGCCCUUUCGAGGCUGAGACUCGGGUUCGAAUCCCGGUCGGAGCA